CCCCUCCAGAUUCCUUAGCCCUCAAACCUAAACAGUGGUCUGAGUGGCUUGAAAAAUGGGGGAAAGUGAAACUGAAAUGAACUUUGAGUCUUGCGACAAACAAGUUCACUUCAGACAAUA
rnacentral:snoRNA from 1 species